GACCAGUGUAGUGUAGUGGUUUAAGUGUUGGACUAUGACUUGAGACCAGGGUUCAAUUCCCUGCUUGGCCA